GGUGAGCCUCCAGAGGCCAUGUGACAUGAAGGAGUGUCAGAGAAAAAAAAGACCAAUGUGUCCUGGCAAACACAGCUCUGGAAACCCUAUGGCUGCUCGCUUGCAUUCCAAUCUUCCCUAGAAACAAUCCAAAAGCAGAAGGAAGAGAAAAGUCAAUGGCUAAUGUGGUUUAAAGUGAGGCUUUUCUAGUCAAGUUCUUCAACACCACAUAUUCUCCCAAGGUCUAGACUGCCAUGCUUCAUUUGUCUGCUCAGGUCUUGGCCAUCAGGAAUACAGAAGCAAUUAAGUAAACAUCGUGUCACUUGGCACUCAGGACCCAUCUCAACAUGGAACAUGCCUAAAAAAAGAGAAAGAAGGAAACCAGAAGAUAGGUCACUAAUAGGUCCUAGGACUUCACCUAACACAAACAUACAAUGCCCUGUGUCUCACCAUGGAAACAUCAGUUUUAAAAGAAUUUCCCAGUCUCCAAAGACACCAGACUCAGGAACCAGGCCAUGCCAUGCCAGCCAUAAGGGAGGCUGGUUCUACUUAUCUCAGAAGAUCAAACGCACAGGAACGCAUGAGUCACCCACAGAUUACUCCUAAUGAGGAGAGCAUUCUGUGGAGACUGACAAGAUGGAAGCCAGAGCUCUUUGUCCAUCAAAGUUGGACAAGAACAGACAGCUCCUACUUCCCCAAACUUCAACUCUGCCUGAGCAGAAACAGCUUAACAGAAAAUCAUGACAUGCGUUAAUAUUUUCCAUAAGGAGCCAGAAGUCAUCUGCAGCUCAAGUGGGAAGAAACCACUCAGCUCCGAGGAGCCCAGAAUGUAUGCUUUUAAGACCCGGGCAGGUCAUCGUGCACAGUCAAGAUCCUGUUCUUGUGGACGCUGGUCUUGUUGUGUCCAUGUAUUCAUUUUGGAAGAUAUCCUGCAUUUCUUCCCAGACUAUCAUGCUCUUCCUAAGUGAUCUAAGGAAGUGAGGAGCCUUAACACUUUAGAAGAGAUUACCAUCCCAGUGGUGACCCACCCACAUGCUACAAGAAGUGGAAGGUUGCAGUGAGAAUCUACUGUACCGAGGAUACGUUUCUCCUUCCCACUGUGCCACCACUGUCCAAGCAAACAGGUUGGACUCCUACUGUAGCUUCCAGAGGGGCAAUCUGGUAGCCUUCGAGUCUGAAACACGUCAAAUUUUAUACUCUAACAACUCGAGAGGUUUCCUUAGCUCUUGAGAUAACCAGGGUCUGCCAGGAAAUCCAUCAAAUCUAGAAUGUUCUCAGCAGUCCUGGACUAUUCAGUCCUCCACAGUGUUUGUGCAGAAGAGCUGCUCAACCCAGGGACUUGUGGUGUUUGCAGCUCGCUCUUCCUGGUGGCAAGGUAUCCUGAGCACUGCAGGGUGUUUGGGAGGAUCCCUGGAUUCUCCCUCCAGGCAGCAGGAGCAGCCCCACUGUGACAGCCCAAACUGCAGAAAUUCCCAAACGCGCCUCCCUGUUGAGAACCUCUGGUCCUAAAUGAUCAGAAAGUUCUUGGUUUUGACACCAGAUGUCAGCCACCCGCCUGUCACUCUGCUAAGAAGAACCAGCAAAUUUUAGCUCUCUCCUUCCCACUUUAGCUCCUGCUAAAGGGAACAUAAAAGACACCCCAGAGUUCUUGCACUUGGAGCUCUGCAGGAAGAACCCAGGUGGUCCCCUGGCAUCAGGCGCCUCAUGUUUCAUGCAUAGGAUGUGGCCCGGUGG
rnacentral:lncRNA from 1 species